rnacentral:rRNA from 1 species
AGAGUUUGAUCAUGGCUCAGAAUGAAACCUGGCGGUGUGCCUAACACAUGCAAGUCAAACGACAAUUUAUUUGGAGUGGCGGACGGGUGAGUAACACGUAAGAACCUACCUUUAGGAGGGGGAUACCAUCCCGGGAAACUGGUGCUAAUACCCCAUAUGCUGAGAAGUGAAAUGGUAUUUAACCGCCUAGAGAGGGGCUUGCGGCUGAUUAGCUAGUUGGUGGGGUAAUGGCCUCCCAAGGCGACGAUCAGUAGCUGGUUUGAGAGGAUGAUCAGCCACACUGGGACUGAGACACGGCCCAGACUCCUACGGGAGGCAGCAGUGAGGAAUUUUCCGCAAUGGGCGAAAGCCUGACGGAGCAAUACCGCGUGGAGGAAAAAGAAGACCUGUGGGUUGUAAACUCCUUUUCUCAGAGAAGAAUACUGACGGUAUCUGAGGAAUAAGCACCGGCUAACUAUGUGCCA